rfam:Colletotrichum gloeosporioides Nara gc5 unplaced genomic scaffold scaffold346, whole genome shotgun sequence.
ACAUACGACCAUACCCACUGGAGAAUUCGGUUCGGGAUCCCGUCCGCCCGUCCGCUCUCCCAUAGAUAAGCCAGUGAGGGCUGGAGUAGUAGUCGGGUCGGUGACGACCGGCGAAUGCCCGGUGUUGUAUGUC